GUGAAUAUAGCUCAGUGGUAGAGCAUGUGUUUAGCAUGCUCAAGGUCCUGGGUUCCAUCCCCACUACCUCCA
rnacentral:tRNA from 1 species